ACAUUUACAAAAAUGUCAUAGAUUCAGAGCUGGAAGGGAUCUAAGAGGUCACCUAUUCCAACCCCUUCCCGUUGCAAAUGAAGAGUGGAUGAAGUGAUUUGCCCAAAGUCACACAGAUUUCAUACAGAAGAAUCAGCAUGCAAAUCCAAGUCCUCUGACUCCGCAUUCAGUGCUGUCUCCAUGUCACAAGGAAUUGGCCACGCUAAGGAGCUGAGAAAGCAAGGCUUGGGAAGAGUUCAAGCAACACAGCUAAACCUAAACCCUAAAUCCAGUGCUCUGUGUACUACAUCAAAAUGUCUUAUUCCUCUCCUGCAGCAGUGUCAAGCUCAAAUGGAACCAGGUUGGGAUGGACUCUGCUGUACCCUGACACCUCAAGGUUUCCAGCAACCCCAAACCACAUCAUAUUUUGGUGAACAUGUUAUGAGGAAUUGCCUGACCUCCUCAAGCCCUCCUCCAGUCAAGACCGGAAGAAUAAAAAAAAAGGAAGAAAACACAUCAGCACUGCCUGCCCUAGCACAUAUCUGGAUCAAAAGCAACACAAUUAUAGAGAUCCAGCAGGACUCAGAAUGAAGACUGAAGAGGGCCCCCCCCCCAACUAACCCUUCAUGGAGGUGGGAGCUCUGCAUAUUUUCUGACUUUUACAAUAUAUGGAUCAGUUGUGUGGUUUUUUUCCUCUUAAAAAAUACUGUUUGUUAUAGGGAAUAGCUCUCUGGCUGGAAGAAGGAUACUUUGGGCAACUAUGAUAAUGUAAAAAACCAGAGAUGUCAAUAAAAACUUGUUUUCAAUCAA